rnacentral:ncRNA from 1 species
UGAACGGCUCUUUUAAGAGCCACCACAGCUAAAAAAAGAAUGAAG